CCUAAGGGUGGCUGCAGUGGGGAAUAUUGGACAAUGGGCGAAAGCCUGAUCCAGCCAUGCCGCGUGUGUGAAGAAGGCCUUCGGGUUGUAAAGCACUUUCAGUGGGGAAGAAAGCCUUGGGGCUAAUACCCUCGAGGAAGGACAUCACCCACAGAAGAAGCACCGGCUAACUCCGUGCCAGCAGCCGCGGUAAUACGGAGGGUGCGAGCGUUAAUCGGAAUUACUGGGCGUAAAGCGCGCGUAGGCGGUCUGAUAAGCCGGUUGUGAAAGCCCCGGGCUCAACCUGGGAACGGCAUCCGGAACUGUCAGGCUAGAGUGCAGGAGAGGAAGGUAGAAUUCCCGGUGUAGCGGUGAAAUGCGUAGAGAUCGGGAGGAAUACCAGUGGCGAAGGCGGCCUUCUGGACUGACACUGACGCUGAGGUGCGAAAGCGUGGGUAGCAAACAGGAUUAGAUACCCCGGUAGUC
rnacentral:rRNA from 1 species